rnacentral:sRNA from 1 species
GCAGAAGCACUUUGAGAAGAGGCGGAACCCGGCAGCAGGCCUGAUCCAGGCAAGAGUAUAAAGAAGAACAAAAAUGCCCCCAAAUCUCACUCCACUAUUG